rnacentral:rRNA from 1 species
UACGUAGGGGGCAAUCGUUGUCCGGAUUUAUUGGGCGUAAAGAGCGUGUAGGCGGUUUGGUAGGUCCGUUGUGAAAGCUCGAGGCUCAACCUCGAGACGCCGAUGGAAACCAUCAGACUAGAGUCCGGAAGAGGAGAGUGGAAUUCCUGGUGUAGCGGUGAAAUGCGCAGAUAUCAGGAAGAACACCCGUGGCUAAGGCGGCUCUCUAGUACGGUACUGACGCUGAGACGCGAAAGCGUGGGGAGUGAACAGG